AACGUAGGAGACAAACGUUAUCCGGAGUUACUGGGCGUAAAGGGCGUGUAAGCGGUUUGUUAAGUCUGGCGUGAAAGCUCUCGGCUAAACCGGGAGAGGUCGUUGGAUACUGGCGAACUAGAGGAUGGUAGAGGCGUGUGGAAUUCCGGGUGUAGUGGUGAAAUGCGUAGAGAUCCGGAGGAACACCAGUGGCGAAGGCGACACGCUGGGCCAUACCUGACGCUAAAGCGCGACAGCAUGGGGAGCAAACGGG
rnacentral:rRNA from 1 species